rnacentral:lncRNA from 1 species
GUUUACUGCAGAUCUGAACAGUUUUGAAGAUGCAAUUCCAAAAGAAAUGUUAAUUCUGAACUUGUGGCCACACCGUAUCAUUCAGCAUUUAAUUUGUGCCCAGCUCUCUGAAGGAGGUGGGCAAACCCAUCCGCUACAUGAAGCAACUGCACCCAACCAGAGUAGAAGGGAGCUUCUCUGGGACACCACCGCCACCAAGAACCGCGUGCUGUAAUGCUGAGCUAGUCCCCUGCUAUGCCACUGACCUGCUGUGAGGAGGCACACCACCUGGCUUGGAGGAUGGGUUGGGCCCCUGCUCGUGACAAAUCCCGCUUUGAUUUAUUUUCCACACCGAGGUCUGGGAAGCUUUGGCUGAAAACAGUGAAGACCCAGUGCUGCCUCCAAGCUGGGCUUGGCAGUGUAAGCAGUUAAUUUUCUUGCUGAGGGUGGAAAGAUAAAGUAGAGGUGUGUUAGAGCCAAGGGAGCCUCCUCUCCAUUUGCAGAAAAAGAGGAAGGUAAAGAUUUUUAGAGGAAGCGCUAUGAUUUUCCAGUACUUGGGGCUCAUGUUGCUAGCAAAGAUGAGAACUGGUAUGUGUUUGGGUCGAGGGUACCGCCAGUGAUGGUGUAAGACACCAAUACUGACAGUAAAUCCAGAUUGCAGUUGUUUAUGGAAAAUUUGCUGUAGUUUUCUUUAGUUCCAAGCGUGCGGCUGUAUCUGCAUGUUCUAGUGUUUAAUUUAAGGGAAUAGUUAUUUAUUGCUCCUGUACCAUUGGGUUAACAACCCAGACUAUGCAUUUGUGCUUUUAGGCAGUAUUUUAAAACACUGAUUCCUGAAAAAAUUGAGGUAAUUUUUUAUUUUUAUCUCCGGGGAGCUUGCCAAGGAGCCUUCUCGGACGGGAAGCUUCAGGGGUUGGCCGCGCUCGGUGACGCUUGCUUCGCCGUGCUUGGCGAGGGGCUCCGGGGAACCUUCUCACCACAGGGCCCGCCGUUAGGGAGCUGGGCCGCGGGAAGGCCGUUCCUGGGGACGGCGGCCGUUGCGGCCGUUGCGGCCGUUGGCGGGGCGGGCCCGGGGCGGGGCGAGGGGCGUUUCCCGGCGGGCCGCCGGCCCUGCCACCGCCGCGCCCCGCUGCCGCCCUCUCGGCCUCUACCGCGGCGGCACGGCUUCGCUGCGGCCCGGCGGCUCUGAGCUGUUUUUGCAGGAGAUCCAGUCCAUUGGAGAAGACAAAAAUAAGAACAGAAACUGGACUCAUUCACAGUUCUAUGAGGCUGGGCUCUGCUGUGCUUUCCCGUGGUCCCAACAGGCAGCUGAUGAAAGUCUGCGUAGAUCAUUGAGUUCAAAGGAAUUGCUGCAACCUGUUUUUGCUGAAAAUCAGCCCUGCACAUCUAGCAACGGUAAACUGGCUCUUCAGAGACCUCUGAACUGGAGAGAAGGAAAGAGCGUGGGCUUAGAGCACUUUACAGAAAGAAGGCUGAAAUUGUGUUUGGCAAGAUUCCUUCAUGCAUUUGAGGAAGAGCAAGACUGUAAUGUUUACUUUGGCAAGCACUGCUGUGGAAAGUGA